CAAGUAUCCUAAACCUUUCUCUUGGAUAUAUUGCAAAUAUUCUGAUCCAUUCCUUUGGUAUAUGCUUCAAGUAUUCAUACCUUUCUUUUCAAUGUUCGAAAGUGCGAGUAUUCUGACCCAUUCUUUCUAAUCUUCAAGUUUCUAAAGAAUUUCCGUUUUACAAAUUAAUUCGAAGUUCAGAUUGUCAUUGAAGCAUGUGUUGCUCAGUGAUAGUUAGAGCUUUGAAUGAAUUGGGAUCUUCUUGAUUAUUCAACCCGCCAUUGUCAUGCUGGUUUAGCAGGCUAAAUUCAGUUGCUUAGCCGAUAAUGGAGGAUACUGAAUAGUUGAGGAUUCCCUGAACUGUGAUUUAUGAAAUGAUGGAUCAUAAUUUAUGAAUAGAUUAUUAUCAAAGUUUGAUUGGAAUUAUUCUGUUGUUGAUGAUAUUUAUGAUGAUGUUCUGUUAAUUUACAUUGGCUUCUUGAAUUGAAUUAGAGAAUUGGAUUAUUGUUUUUAUAUAAACCUGUGGACCAGAUGCGUGGUCAUGUUAGGCCAAUGAGUGCCUUGGAUCCAGUGAUAGAGCAUGGCGGGGCCUGCUCGGGGUUAGUGCGGAACUGAUCAGCUGCCUAACCUUGGUUUUAAUUAAAAUGUGAUAGUCCAAUUCAAUAAUUCUUUGGAAAGAUUGAAUUUCUCAGUUUAAAUGCUGCAAGGUAUUGUAAAUCAUUCUAUACAAUACCAUGAACUCAUGAACUCAGGUUGAAUCCUCUUAUAUCUUGAACUCGUGAUCUUCUGUUAUAUCAUUUCAGAACUAUCAUUGUUUAUUAUUACUUGCUGAGCAUUGUUGCUCACCCUUGCUAUUCCUUUCUAACCAUUUCAGAAAGGCUUAAAGAUGAGAUGAUUGAUUGAGAUUGUGAAUAAGGCUAAUGCUAGGCGAGGAGACAGAGUUGAGGAUCCAGUGGUCGAGGAGUGUUCAGGAAAGUUGAUGAGGUUGGUGC
rnacentral:lncRNA from 1 species